rnacentral:rRNA from 1 species
GGGGGCCCCGAGUUACACUCCCAAACCCAUGUGAACGUUACCAAACUGUUGCCUCGGCGGGAUCUCUGCCCCGGGUGCGUCGCAGCCCCGGACCAAGGCGCCCGCCGGAGGACCAACCAAAACUCUUAUUGUAUACCCCCUCGCGGGUUUUUUACUAUCUGAGCCAUCUCGGCGCCCCUCGUGGGCGUUUCGAAAAUGAAUCAAAACUUUCAACAACGGAUCUCUUGGUUCUGGCAUCGAUGAAGAACGCAGCGAAAUGCGAUAAGUAAUGUGAAUUGCAGAAUUCAGUGAAUCAUCGAAUCUUUGAACGCACAUUGCGCCCGCCAGUAUUCUGGCGGGCAUGCCUGUCCGAGCGUCAUUUCAACCCUCGAACCCCUCCGGGGGGUCGGCGUUGGGGAUCGGCCCUUUACGGGGCCGGCCCCGAAAUACAGUGGCGGUCUCGCCGCAGCCUCUCCUGCGCAGUAGUUUGCACACUCGCAUCGGGAGCGCGGCGCGUCCACAGCCGUUAAACACCCCAAACUUCUGAAAUGUUGACCUCGGAUCAGGUAGGAAUACCCGCUGAACUUAAGCAUAUCAAUAAGCGGAGGAAUUU